GGCGGCAUGCCUAACACAUGCAAGUCGAACGCGAAAGCGCCUUCGGGUGUGAGUAGAGUGGCGGACGGGUGAGUAACGCGUGGGUAACCUGCCCCAUACAAAGGGAUAGCCACUGGAAACGGUGAUUAAUACCAUAUAACAUCAUAGUGUCGCAUGACACAUUGGUCAAAGAUUUAUCGGUAUGGGAUGGACCCGCGUCUGAUUAGCUAGUUGGUAAGGUAACGGCUUACCAAGGCGACGAUCAGUAGCCGACCUGAGAGGGUGAUC
rnacentral:rRNA from 1 species